ACGGAGGGUGCAAGCGUUGUCCGGAUUUAUUGGGUUUAAAGGGUGCGCAGGUGGUUUAUUAAGUCAGUGGUGAAAGACGGUCGCUCAACGAUUGCAGUGCCAUUGAAACUGGUAGACUUGAGUAAAGUAGAGGUGGGCGGAAUUGAUAGUGUAGCGGUGAAAUGCAUAGAUAUUAUCAAGAGCUCCAAUUGCGUAGGCAGCUCACUUGGCUUUUACUGACACUCAUGCACGAAAGUGUGGGUAUCAAACAGGAUUAGAUACCCUGGUAGUCCACACUGUAAACGAUGAUAACUAGGUGUCGGCCGAAUCUGGUCGGUGCCACAGCGAAAGCGUUAAGUUAUCCACCUGGGGAGUACGCCGGCAACGGUG
rnacentral:rRNA from 1 species